rnacentral:rRNA from 1 species
AACUUUCAGCAACGGAUCUCUUGGCUCUCGCAUCGAUGAAGAACGCAGCGAAAUGCGAUAAGUAAUGUGAAUUGCAGAAUUCAGUGAAUCAUCGAAUCUUUGAACGCACCUUGCGCCCUUUGGUAUUCCGAAGGGCAUGCCCGUUUGAGUGUCA